GGUUAGGUUGUUCCAAAAUCCUUGUUGUUUUUGUGAUUGUUUUAUUUUAACUGUCGCAGUGACAAUUGUAGUUGGUUAAGUUUUUGAGCGGUAAUCAUUGAAAACGAGAGUUUUUAGAACAUUCUGAUUAAAUAUGAACAUUCCGUUAUUCCCCAAACGCACCCCCAAAUUAACCGACGGGGCUUGGUUCAAUGCGGAUCCCCCUUGUGAUCCGGAGGAGGAAGUAACCCAGUUGGAGAAGGAGCACCAGGAAUGGAUCGAAUCUAUUACAAAAACUCACUGUGAUUUAACACCCAUUGGGAAAACCUCCUCAGAUUACGUUGGCGACGAUGAUGAGGAGGAGGAAGAUGAUAAUGACGACGACGACGAUGAUGAUAGUGAAAGUCAUGAUGAUGAGGAGGAAGAUGAAAUCGAAAUGGAAGCGGCCAAUUAGAAAAACUGCAUUAAUUAGAGAACCAUGUAUUUUUAAACUAAGUUUUCAGUCUAAUGGUAUCGGUGGAACCAACAAAGGUCUCCAGUUCAGCAAACGGUUCUUCAGCUUCAUCUUCUGAGUCACUGUUUGCUUCCAUGCCGGUUUCUUCCACAUCAUAUUUAUUGGCAGUUUCGGAAUUGUGUUUUAUUUUAUGCCAGUCAAUGUUAUCAAGCCAAUUGUCGCGUACCUUUAGUAAGUCAAUAAAGCUAAGAUUGUUUUCUUGGAAA
rnacentral:misc_RNA from 1 species